CGGGACUGACGGGGCUCGAACCCGCAGCUCC
rnacentral:tRNA from 1 species